AGAGUUUGAUCCUGGCUCAGGAUGAACGCUAGCGGUAGGCAUAACACAUGCAAGUCGAGGGGCAGCAUAAUUGAAGCUUGCUUUGAUUGAUGGCGACCGGCGGAUGGGUGAGUAACGCGUAUGCAACCUGGCUUAUACAGGAGGAUAGACACUGGAAGCGGUGCGUAAUACUGCGUAAUGUUAUUGAGAGGCAUCUCUUGAUAAAGAAAGAUUUCGAUUGGUAUAAGAUGGGCAUGCGUAGGAUUAGCUAGAUGGUGAGGUAAUGGCUUACCAUGGCGACGAUCUUUAGGGGUUCUGAGAGGAAGGUCCCCCACAUUGCAACUGAGAACGGUGCAAACUCCUACGGGAGGCAGCAGUGAGGAAUAUUGGUCAAUGGGCGGAAGCCUGAACCAGCCAUACCGCGUGCAGGAAGGCGGCCUUAUGGGUUGUAAACUGCUUUUAUAUUGGGAUAAAGGGCUUGUCGGGAACAAGCAAUUGAAGGUACAGUAUGAAUAAGUAUCGGCUAACUCCGUGCCAGCAGCCGCGGUAAUACGGAGGAUACGAGCGUUAUCCGGAUUUAUUGGGUUUAAGGGUGCGUAGGCGGACAUUUAGGUCUAUGGUGAAAUCGUUGAGCUCAACACAAUUCAGCUGUAGAAACCGAGUGACUAGAAUAUAAGUGGCGCAGGCGGAAUAAAGCAUGUAGAGGUGACAUUCAUAGAUAUGCUUUAGAACACCGAUCGCGAAGGCGGCUUGCGAAGGUAUGAUUGACGCUAAUGCACGAAAGCGUGGGUAUCGAACAGAAUUAGAUACUCUGGUAGUCCACGCUGUAAACGAUGAUAACUAUAUGUUGGCGAUAGACGGCCAGUGUAGCAGCGAAAGCGAUAAGUUAUCCACCUGGGGGAGUACGAUCGCAAGGUUGAAACUCAAAGGAAUUGACGG
rnacentral:rRNA from 1 species